rnacentral:siRNA from 1 species
CUAUACCCGGCCGUCGGGGC